UGGAGAAUAUUGCACAAUGGGCGAAAGCCUGAUGCAGCGACGCCGCGUGGGGGAUGAAGGCCUUCGGGUUGUAAACCCCUUUCAGCAGGGAAGAAGCGAAAGUGACGGUACCUGCAGAAGAAGCGCCGGCUAACUACGUGCCAGCAGCCGCGGUAAUACGUAGGGCGCAAGCGUUGUCCGGAAUUAUUGGGCGUAAAGAGCUCGUAGGCGGUCUGUCGCGUCUGCUGUGAAAACCCGAGGCUCAACCUCGGGCCUGCAGUGGGUACGGGCAGACUAGAGUGCGGUAGGGGAGACUGGAAUUCCUGGUGUAGCGGUGGAAUGCGCAGAUAUCAGGAGGAACACCGAUGGCGAAGGCAGGUCUCUGGGCCGCAACUGACGCUGAGGAGCGAAAGCAUGGGGAGCGAACAGGAUUAGAUACCCUGGUAGUCCAUGCCGUAAACGUUGGGCACUAGGUGUGGGGCUCGAUUCCACGAGUUCCGUGCCGC
rnacentral:rRNA from 1 species